rnacentral:rRNA from 1 species
AGAGUUUGAUCCUGGCUCAGGAUAAACGUUGGCGGCGUGCCUUAGGCAUGCAAAUCAAGGGGGGCUGAGGCCGCAAGGCCGAAGUCAACCGGUGGACGGGUGAGUAAUGCGCGGGAAUCUGCCUGGAAGUUGGACAUAGCUCGCCGAAAGGCGAGGUAAUUUCCAAUGUGUCCGAUGAUCCGUAAGGGCUAUCGGACAAAGCCGCAAGGCGCUUCCAGAUGAGCCUGCGUCCUAUCAGCUUGUUGGUGGGGUAAUGGCCUACCAAGGCAACGACGGGUAGCUGGACUGAGAGGUCGGUCAGCCACAACGGGACUGCGACACGGCCCGUACAUCUACGGAUGGCAGCAACCGGGAAUAUUGCGCAAUGGGCGAAAGCCUGACGCAGCGACGCCGCGUGGAGGAUGAAGGCCUUAGGGUCGUAAACUCCUUUUAUGGGGGAAGAUUAUGACGGUACCCCAAGAAUAAGCACUUGCUAACUACGUGCCAGAAGCCUCGGUAAUGCGUAGAGUGCAAACGUUAUCCGGAUUUAUUGGGCGUAAAGANNNNNNNNNNNNNNNNNNNNNNUAUUGGGCGUAAAGAGUUGCGUAGGCUGUCCGAUAGAUUUUGCUUGAAAGCCCAUGACUUAAUCAUGGUUUUGGGCAAAAUAUCAUCGGACUUGAUGGUUGGAGAGGGUGCUGGAACCGAUGGUGUAGCAGUGAAAUGCGUUGAUAUCAUCGGGAACACCAAAGGCGUAGGCAGGCACCUAGUCAACCCAUGACGCUGAGGCACGAAAGCUGGGGGAGCGAAACAGAUUAGAGACCUGUGUAGUCCCAGCCGUAAACUAUGUCCGCUAGAUAGUGGGAAUUCUCACUGUCGCAGCUAACGCGUUAAGCGGACCGCCUGGGGAGUACGAGCGCAAGCUUAAAACUCAAAGGAAUUGACGGGGACCCGCACAAGCAGUGGAGCGUGUGGUUCAAUUCGAUACAAAACGAAAAACCUCACCAGGGUUUGACAUGCUAGAGUUCCAUUCCGCCGAAAGGCGGGAAAUUCGCAAGAAGGCUAGCACAGAUGCUGCAUGGCUAAUCCGCCAAAAGGCGGAGAUGGCCGCUCCGAUAGUAAUGUCGGAGAAAAAUAACCAACCCAAAACGGUGAAGCCCUCUUGCUUUUCGGAUUAUAUUCGUAUAAUCUGAAAGUAAUGGGUAAUACCGUGGGAAGCUUGGUUAGUGCGAGGUUAGAUGUUAGAGGUUGGAAGAUGGAAAAAGAGAUUGGAAGUUUGAGAUUGGAAGAGUACAAUCUAAUUAAUGAUCCAAAGUUUUAAGGAUUUAAAAGUAUAUCAGGAAUCUUAUGAAUUGGCUUUGAUAGUAAAUAAAGCUAUUUUAAGACUGCCUAGCAGCGAAAGAUUUGAUCUGGUAGACCAGAUGCGAAGAGCAUCAAAAUCUAUACCGGCAAAUAUUGCUGAAGGAUAUGCUAAAAGAUUAUUUGAAAAAGAGUUUAAGAAAUAUCUCUUUUCAAGUAUUGGAUC